AGGCCUAACCAUGAAUAAAGUUAAUCCCUUUUAUGGUGUCUUUUGUAUGCAUAUAUUAUUUUAAUAGCGUUUACAUUGUUAAAACGCCAUGAGUGACUAGGUGGUAAUUACAGAUCUUCAAAUAUCCAUUUUUCUACUUUAAAAAACCUAUCUGUUAUAAAGUAGAUUGCUAUUAAAAAACAUUGCCAUGAUUAUUUGUUCAGAUAGGUUUUUUAAAGUAGAUUGCCAACGAUAUAAAAUAAUCAUGGCGAGGAAGCUAUCAACACACCGACUAUCUAAAUUGAAUAAGAAACAAAUAGCGAAACCUAAUGGUAAUCCUUUCCAUGUUAUAAUUUAGUUUUGUCUUUAUGGUGUUUUGGAUAAUAAUUUAUGGUGAAGAAUUAGAAUAGGUUGACGAUGUUUAGCUAAGUGUGAGACCUUUCAAGCGUAAUGGUUGUAAGUUUGAACCGGGAGAGUAUAGGCAGGCUGCAAUCAUUCUUGAAGAUGUGACCAAGCCUGUGCUUGACAGAUUUAGAGGGGAGACUCUAGAAUUUCACAAAGUAGUAACUUUUAGGUAUAAGGUAGAGAUUAUUGAUGUCUGAACUAAAAAUGGUUGGUAAUUGUCUACAUGCACCACUGGAAAGUCAGAAAGGGGAUUUCACACAGAGACCGCAACUCCAGGUGCGAUGGCUGUGAGUCAGAGGUCUACUUUCUACAAGUGAGGUAUGUAUGUGGUGGAAUAGUUAGCAGACUUGGGAAGGCAAAAAAAAAGAGUAGUGGUUUAUAUAGAUAUGUCUUAAAGGCUGCAAGCAACAUUUUUAUAUCGAAAUAGAAUCGGAAACAAGUCCAUAGUUAGUGACACCUAUAUUACAAUUGAACUCAGUAAUGAAAGCAAUGAUCUAACAGGUACAGUUUCUAGGCAUCUCAUGCCCUUUGUACACA